AACAAACGCUGGCGGCGUGCCUAAUACAUGCAAGUCGAACGGGUAGCAAUAUCAGUGGCGCACGGGUGAGGAAUACAUAGAUAAUCUGCCUUCGAGUCGGGGAUAACCAGUCGAAAGAUUGGCUAAUACCGGAUAAGACCACAGGAUCUGCGGAUCUAGGGGUUAAAGGUUUUUCGCUUGAAGAUGAGUCUAUGCGAGAUUAGCUAGUUGGUGAGGUAACGGCUCACCAAGGCGACGAUCUCUAACUGGUCUUAGAGGAUGAUCAGUCACACUGGAACUGAGACACGGUCCAGACUCCUACGGGAGGCAGCAGUAGGGAAUAUUGCGCAAUGGGGGAAACCCUGACGCAGCGACGCCGCGUGAGUGAUGAAGGCCUUCGGGUCGUAAAGCUCUGUCGUAUGGGAAUAACACAAUGAAUGUACCAUGCAAGAAAGGAUCGGCUAACUUCGUGCCAGCAGCCGCGGUAAUAC
rnacentral:rRNA from 1 species